rnacentral:rRNA from 1 species
CCUACGGGAGGCAGCAGUGGGGAAUAUUGCACAAUGGGCGCAAGCCUGAUGCAGCAACGCCGCGUGAAGGAAGACGGUUUUCGGAUUGUAAACUUCUGUUCUUAGUGAAGAAUAAUGACGGUAGCUAAGGAGCAAGCCACGGCUAACUACGUGCCAGCAGCCGCGGUAAUACGUAGGUGGCAAGCGUUGUCCGGAAUUACUGGGUGUAAAGGGAGCGCAGGCGGGUGAUCAAGUCAGCUGUGAAAACUACGGGCUUAACCCGUAGACUGCAGUUGAAACUGUUCAUCUUGAGUGAAGUAGAGGUUGGCGGAAUUCCGAGUGUAGCGGUGAAAUGCGUAGAUAUUCGGAGGAACACCGGUGGCGAAGGCGGCCAACUGGGCUUUAACUGACGCUGAGGCUCGAAAGUGUGGGGAGCAAACAGGAUUAGAUACCCUGGUAGUCCACACUGUAAACGAUGAUUGCUAGGUGUGGGGGGUCUGACCCCUUCCGUGCCGGAGCUAACGCAAUAAGCAAUCCACCUGGGGAGUACGACCGCAAGGUUGAAACUCAAAGGAAUUGACGGGGACCCGCACAAGCAGUGGAUUAUGUGGUUUAAUUCGAAGCAACGCGAAGAACCUUACCAGGGCUUGACAUCCUACUAACGAAGUAGAGAUACAUCAGGUGCCCUUCGGGGAAAGUAGAGACAGGUGGUGCAUGGUUGUCGUCAGCUCGUGUCGUGAGAUGUUGGGUUAAGUCCCGCAACGAGCGCAACCCUCGCCAUUAGUUGCUACGCAAGAGCACUCUAAUGGGACCGCUACCGACAAGGUGGAGGAAGGUGGGGACGACGUCAAAUCAUCAUGCCCCUUAUGUGCUGGGCUACACACGUAAUACAAUGGCCAUCAACAGAGAGAAGCAAUACCGUGAGGUGGAGCAAAACUUCAAAAAUGGUCUCAGUUCGGACUGCAGGCUGCAACCCGCCUGCACGAAGUUGGAAUUGCUAGUAAUCGUGGAUCAGCAUGCCACGGUGAAUACGUUCCCGGGUCUUGUACACACCGCCCGUCACACCAUGGGAGCCGGUAACACCCGAAGUCAGUAGUCUAACCGCAAGGAGGACGCUGCCGAAGGUGGGAUUGGCGACUGGGGUGAAGUCGUAACAAGGUAGCCGUAUCGGAAGGUGCGGCUG